rnacentral:lncRNA from 1 species
GUCUCCAACUUGCUUGUGGAUUUAUUGACCAUCAGUUCCCUCUUCAGCUUUCACCUGACAGGGCUCGCCCGCUCUAUUUUAGAGCAAGGAGCUGGGAGCAGCACCUGUUCCCCAGUCUCUAAUGAUGGGCUGGGCAUUUUGACGGCGCCCUCCUUCAAUCAACCCACCCCCAGGUGUCAGUGUUUCUGCUUUCCACCUCACCCCGCCCUUCCCGCCGCUCCGCAUCUCUACCUCCGUGGGUGAGGACCCGGGGAGGAGGGAAAUCCGCCCUCAGAGACACAAGCUCCCCAGCUAGUUACCUGCUUUGGAGAGCAUCAAGUCGAUCGGGCGAACCCACCUGCAUGCCAAAGUUUGGGACGUGGGGGAGCUGGGGCACCUAACGUGAGGCCAUGGCUCAACAGUGGGGUCCGGAGGAGACCGGGGAAGAUGCGGCUGGAGACGGAUUCACCGACGUCAUCAAGAGUCGCGCUGGUCACAGAGGACACGCCAGCAGGUCACAAGCAGUCCCCCAAGGGCACAUCGGCAGGUUACAGAGGACACAUUAG